rnacentral:rRNA from 1 species
GGGUCAGUAGGUUGGUCGUGCCACCGGUACGUACUGGUCUCACUGAUUCCUCCUUCCUGAAGAACCGUAAUGCCAUUAAUUUGGUGUUGCGGGGAAACAGGCCUGUUACUUUGAAAAAAUUAGAGUGUUUAAAGCAAGCUAACGCUUGAAUACAUUAGCAUGGAAUAAUGAAAUAGGACGAUCGAUCCUAUUUUGUUGGUUUCUAGGAUUGACGUA